GUAAGGGGCUGGGUUACUGAGAAGGAGAAAAGGGAAGGCAGCUGUUAAACGGGCUGCUGACCUAGGAAUCCCACUGCAAUGAGAGAGUUCUGGGGGGAGGGUCUCUUCUCCCCCUCCCACCAGAACCUUCAACUGUCAAGCACCGAGCUAGCCACCAGCAUGCUGUACUCCCCAGGGCCGAGUCUUCUGGAGUCAGCAGAGAGCCUGGAUGGAUCACAGGAGGAUAAGCCUCGGGGUUCAUGUGCGGCAGAGCCCACUUUUACUGAUACGGGAAUGGUGGCUCACAUAAACCACAGCCGGCUCAAGGCCAAGGGCGUGGGCCAGCACGACAACGCCCAGAACUUUGGUAACCAGAGCUUUGAGGAGCUGCGAGCAGCCUGUCUAAGAAAGGGGGAGCUCUUCGAGGACCCCUUAUUCCCUGCUGAACCCAGCUCACUGGGCUUCAAGGACCUGGGCCCCAACUCCAAAAAUGUGCAGAACAUCUCCUGGCAGCGGCCCAAGGAUAUCAUAAGCAACCCUCUAUUCAUCAUGGAUGGGAUUUCUCCAACAGACAUCUGCCAGGGGAUCCUCGGGGACUGCUGGCUGCUGGCUGCCAUCGGCUCCCUUACCACCUGCCCCAAACUGCUAUACCGCGUGGUGCCCAGAGGACAGAGCUUCAAGAAAAACUAUGCUGGCAUCUUCCAUUUUCAGAUUUGGCAGUUUGGACAGUGGGUGAACGUGGUGGUAGAUGACCGGCUGCCCACAAAGAAUGACAAGCUGGUGUUUGUGCACUCAACCGAACGCAGUGAGUUCUGGAGUGCCCUGCUGGAGAAGGCGUAUGCCAAGCUGAGUGGGUCCUAUGAAGCAUUGUCAGGGGGCAGUACCAUGGAGGGCCUUGAGGACUUCACAGGAGGCGUGGCCCAGAGCUUCCAACUCCAGAGGCCCCCUCAGAACCUGCUCAGGCUCCUUAGGAAGGCCGUGGAGCGAUCCUCCCUCAUGGGUUGCUCCAUUGAAGUCACCAGUGAUAGUGAACUGGAAUCCAUGACUGACAAGAUGCUGGUGAGAGGGCACGCUUACUCUGUGACUGGCCUUCAGGAUGUCCACUACAGAGGCAAAAUGGAAACACUGAUUCGGAUCCGGAAUCCCUGGGGCCGGAUUGAGUGGAAUGGAGCUUGGAGUGACAGUGCCAGGGAGUGGGAAGAGGUGGCCUCAGACAUCCAGAUGCAGCUGCUGCACAAGACGGAGGACGGGGAGUUCUGGAUGUCCUACCAAGAUUUCCUGAACAACUUCACGCUCCUGGAGAUCUGCAACCUCACGCCUGAUACACUCUCUGGGGACUACAAGAGCUACUGGCACACCACCUUCUACGAGGGCAGCUGGCGCAGAGGCAGCUCCGCAGGGGGCUGCAGGAACCACCCUGGCACGUUCUGGACCAACCCCCAGUUUAAGAUCUCUCUUCCUGAGGGGGAUGACCCAGAGGAUGACGCAGAGGGCAAUGUUGUGGUCUGCACCUGCCUGGUGGCCCUAAUGCAGAAGAACUGGCGGCAUGCACGGCAGCAGGGAGCCCAGCUGCAGACCAUUGGCUUUGUCCUCUACUCGGUCCCAAAAGAGUUUCAGAACAUUCAGGAUGUCCACUUGAAGAAGGAAUUCUUCACGAAGUAUCAGGACCACGGCUUCUCAGAGAUCUUUGCCAACUCACGGGAGGUGAGCAGCCAACUCCGGCUGCCUCCGGGGGAAUAUAUCAUUAUUCCCUCCACCUUUGAGCCACACAGAGAUGCUGACUUCCUGCUUCGGGUCUUCACCGAGAAGCACAGCGAGUCAUGGGAAUUGGAUGAAGUCAACUAUGCUGAGCAACUCCAAGAGGAAAAGGUCUCUGAGGAUGACAUGGACCAGGACUUCCUACAUUUGUUUAAGAUAGUGGCAGGAGAGGGCAAGGAGAUAGGGGUGUAUGAGCUCCAGAGGCUGCUCAACAGGAUAGCCAUCAAAUUCAAAAGCUUCAAGACCAAGGGCUUUGGCCUGGAUGCUUGCCGCUGCAUGAUCAACCUCAUGGAUAAAGAUGGCUCUGGCAAGCUGGGGCUUCUAGAGUUCAAGAUCCUGUGGAAAAAACUCAAGAAAUGGAUGGACAUCUUCAGAGAGUGUGACCAGGACCAUUCAGGCACCUUGAACUCCUAUGAGAUGCGCCUGGCUAUUGAGAAAGCAGGCAUCAAGCUGAACAACAAGGUAAUGCAGGUCCUGGUGGCCAGGUAUGCAGAUGAUGACCUGAUCAUAGACUUUGACAGCUUCAUCAGCUGUUUCCUGAGGCUAAAGACCAUGUUCAGUGAGUUAGGCAUCUACCCACUCCCCAGCCUGGGCCAGGGGCCGCGGGCCCUUUCCCAAACACCCACGCUGAUGGGUGCUGCUCCAGAUCCCCUCCCCCUUACAAGGCACACAUGAAAUGGGUUCAAAGCCCAGCUCCGCCACUUGCUGGCAGAGGUGACUUGAGCAAGUCACUUAAACUUUCUGUGCCUCCAUUCCCUCCUCUUUAGAAUGUGGAUAAUAAUAGUACUGCCCUCAAAGGACUGAGGUGCAGGUUAAACCAGUUAGUCUAUGGAAGGCAAUCAGAACUGGGCCUGGCUUCUGGUGAGGCUAUCAUUCUUUCUAACCAUGGACCCCAAGAAUACUGGCCAUAUUUGCUUGAACCUGGAACAGUGGCUGCAGAUGACCAUGUGGGGAUAGAGGCGCUGUAGGAGCCUGGUCAUCUCUACCAGCAGCAGCAGCAGCAAGGUUCUAGCCCAGGAGGGUGGGGUGCUUCUUGUAGCCCUCAGCUCUCCGGUCUCUGCUGAUGAAAUGGGCUCCAGGUGGCAGUGCCUGGGUCCCAGGUGCCGUGUUUACUGCAGCAGUGGGACCUCCGUGCCCACUCCCCCAGCUCAGAGGCUUUCUCUUUUUUCCCCAACCCGGCUUCUGAUGGCUGGCUUUCUCCCACCAUCGCUCUCUCAGAGUAUAUUUUACUAAAGAGUAGUUGAUGCUUCCCCAGGGUCCCCCUGGCUGGGGAGGCCAAGAAUACGGAAGGGACUUGUAGCCCGUUUCUUACCCUCCAUGCUUGCUGUCCUGCUCACACCUACCUGCUGACCACCCAUCCUGGCACAGCCUCUGUUUUCCUCCCCAUCUGUGGAUACUAUUCUAAUAAAUAGCACAUGCCAUUGGC